AAGAGGAGCUUAUAGGGAGAUACCAUGAUCACGCAGGUGGUUUUCCCAGGGCAAGGCUUAUCCAUUGCACUCGGGAUGUGCUGACCCCUGUGAUUUCCACAAAUGUGGGAAACUCUGCUGCAUAAUUUGUGGUAGUGGGGGACUGCGUUCGUGCUCUCCCCUG
rnacentral:snRNA from 1 species